UCGGACGUGGUGCACGGCGCACACCCGCUCUCCCUACAAGGUUAGGUUGGAAGGUACAGUGGGAGCGCCGGGUUCGAUUCCCGGCGUCUGAA